AAACGUCUUUCUAGGGUAGAAGG
rnacentral:miRNA from 1 species